AGCGAACGCUGGCGGCAGGCUUAACACAUGCAAGUCGAGCGGGCGUAGCAAUACGUCAGCGGCAGACGGGUGAGUAACGCGUGGGAACAUACCUUUUGGUUCAGAACAACACAGGGAAACUUGUGCUAAUACCGGAUAAGCCCUUACGGGGAAAGGAUUUAUCGCCGAAAGAUUGGCCCGCGUCUGAUUAGCUAGUUGGUGAGGUAACGGCUCACCAAGGCGACGAUCAGUAGCGGUCUGAGAGGAUGAUCAGCCACAUUGGGACUGAGACACGGCCCAAACUCCUACGGGAGGCAGCAGUGGGGAAUAUUGGACAAUGGGCGCAAGCCUGAUCCAGCCAUGCCGCGUGAGUGAUGAAGGCCCUAGGGUUGU
rnacentral:rRNA from 1 species